AACGAACGCUGGCGGCAUGCCUAACACAUGCAAGUCGAACGAGAUCUUCGGGUCUAGUGGCGCACGGGUGCGUAACGCGUGGGAACCUGCCCUUUGGUUCGGAAUAACAGUUGGAAACGACUGCUAAUAACGGAAGAUGACGAAAGUCCAAAGAUUUAUCGCCAGAGGAUGAGCCCGCGUAGGAUUAGCUAGUUGGUGUGGUAAAGGCGCACCAAGGCGACGAUCCUUAGCUGGUCUGAGAGGAUGAUCAGCCACACUGGGACUGAGACACGGCCCAGACUCCUACGGGAGGCAGCAGUGGGGAAUAUUGGACAAUGGGCGAAAGCCUGAUCCAGCAAUGCCGCGUGAGUGAUGAAGGCCUUAGGGUUGUAAAGCUCUUUUACCCGGGAUGAUAAUGACAGUACCGGGAGAAUAAGCUCCGGCUAACUCCGUGCCAGCCGCCGCCGUAA
rnacentral:rRNA from 1 species